GUUUACUACCAUGCUACCUGGAACACACCAGAUCUAAUAUAAUCUUGGAAGCCAAACAAGAUUGGAUCUGGUUAGUGCUUAAAUGGGAGACCAACAGUGAAUAUCAGGGAUUUCAAGGU
rnacentral:rRNA from 1 species